rnacentral:rRNA from 1 species
UGGGGAAUAUUGGACAAUGGGCGCAAGCCUGACCCAGCAAUGCCGCGUGAGUGAUGAAGGCCUUCGGGUUGUAAAGCUCUUUCGCCUGCGAGGAUGAUGACGGUAGCAGGAGAAGAAGCCCCGGCUAACUUCGUGCCAGCAGCCGCGGUAAUACGAAGGGGGCGAGCGUUGUUCGGAUUUACUGGGCGUAAAGGGCGCGUAGGCGGCGAUCUAAGUCAGGCGUGAAAGCCCCGGGCUCAACCUGGGAGGUGCGCUUGGGACUAGAUUGCUGGAGUUCGGGAGAGGAGCGUGGAAUUCCCAGUGUAGAGGUGAAAUUCGUAGAUAUUGGGAAGAACACCGGUGGCGAAGGCGGCGCUCUGGACCGAUACUGACGCUGAGGCGCGAAAGCGUGGGGAGCAAACAGGAUUAGAUACCCUGGUAGUCCACGCUGUAAACGAUGUGUGCUAGACGUUGGGGAGCCUAGCUCUUCGGUGUCGCCGCUAACGCUGUAAGCACACCGCCUGGGGAGUACGGCCGCAAGGUUA